CCUACGGUGUGCAGCAGUGGGGAAUAUUGGGCAAUGGGCGCAAGCCUGACCCAGCAACGCCGCGUGAAGGAAGAAGGCUUUCGGGUUGUAAACUUCUUUUCUCAGGGACGAAGCAAGUGACGGUACCUGAGGUAUAAGCCACGGCUAACUACGUGCCAGCAGCCGCGGUAAUACGUAGGUGGCAAGCGUUAUCCGGAUUUACUGGGUGUAAAGGGCGUGUAGGCGGGACUGCAAGUCAGAUGUGAAAACCAUGGGCUCAACCUAUGGCCUGCAUUUGAAACUGUAGUUCUUGAGUACUGGGGAGGCAGACGGAAUGCCUAGUGUAGCGGUGAAAUGCGUAGAUAUUAGGAGGAACACCAGUGGCGAAGGUGGUCUGCUGGACAGCAACUGACGCUGAGGCGCGAAAGCGUGGGGAGCAAACAGGAUUAGAUACCCGGGUAGUC
rnacentral:rRNA from 1 species